rnacentral:rRNA from 1 species
AAAACAGGGACGAACGCUGGCGGUAUGCUUAACACAUGCAAGUCGAACGAGAAGGUUUUGGUGGAUCCUUCGGGUGACAUUAGAACUGGAAAGUGGCGAACGGGUGAGUAACGCGUGGGUAACCUGCCCUAUGGAAAGGAAUAGCCUCGGGAAACUGGGAGUAAAGCCUUAUAUUAUGGUUUUGUCGCAUGGCAAGAUCAUGAAAACUCCGGUGCCAUAGGAUGGACCCGCGUCCCAUUAGCUAGUUGGUGAGAUAACAGCCCACCAAGGCGACGAUGGGUAACCGGUCUGAGAGGGCGAACGGUCACACUGGAACUGAGACACGGUCCAG